ensembl:miRNA
UGAUGACCACUGUGGUGGGAUGGGUAGAGAAGGAGCUCAGAGGACUGUGCGCCUUAUUUCCCCUGAGCCCUCCCUCUCUCUUCCCACCUGGGGCUCUAGGCUUCCAGAUUC